rnacentral:lncRNA from 1 species
CAUUGCCAUGUUUUAACACAUGAUUAUAAAAAUAAGUUGUCCAUAAAUGUUACUUAAUUGUGAGUUAAAUUUCUCUAAUUUUAUGUUUUGUCUUCAGGAACAUUAUCAGUCAUUCAAGCUAUGAUAUCCUGGCAGAUCUACUUCCUGAAAAGAAGACUCAGCAGAUCUUUUCAAGACACACUAGAUGGAGCGCGGAGAGACCGGACAGUUCCCACAGUGCCAGUUUUUCAGCACCCACACCCCAAACACAAAUUCAUAUAGAAGUUUUCAAUAAUAAAAUGUUCAUAUGAUAGUUUAUAUUUAGCUAUGAAGCAAUAGUUUAUUGUCAUAAAUAUUAAACUAAAUAUUAAAGUCCUUCUGUAGUGAAAAUCAAGUUUUUAUGCUGUUUUUUUGUCUUUGUGGCAUUAAAUAUUGCUACAUCACAAUCCAAUAACCAAUCACAUCUAAGAAUAAUUUCCUAUAGCAUGCCAAUACCAGCGCACAAGCACAAAGCUAAAGACAAAUUAUAGCAAAAAAAAUUAGAUUAAAUAUUUGACUACAGGGGACUUACAUUUUUUUUUUUACAAGAUAUGAAAUUUUCACCAGUCUGUUCAAUGUGUUGAAAGUGAAAGUGAUUAUCUUUAAUAAUUCAGAUACCUGUUGAAAUGCACAUGUAAUUGAAUGCUUGCUUGGAUCUGGGAUGUUGUGUUAAUAAAUAUUAUGCUGAAAGAGAAUGUUGCAACAGUGCUAACCUGAAAAUAAAAUUUUAUUAAGCUACACUUUGUAAUGUUCAAAUUAAAGUUUAUACAAUGUUUUAUUCUUAAUAAAAUUUAAGUGGAAAGAACAUUGUAGGCACAUUAUGCUGACCAUAAAAUGAAGUUCCAACAUUUUAAUGUUCUUGGAAUUUUCCAAAUAAAUGUGAAUAGAAUAUUGUGUUUAAAUGAAAAUUAGGUUGCAGGAACGUUAUGCUGACCAUACUGUAAAAUAAUGUUCUAGCAACGUUAAGCAAACUAGACAUUUUAACGUUAUUGGAAUGUUCAAAACAAAUGUUCAUAGAACGUUAUAUUUUUUAAGAAAUGUAAGUUUCAAGAACGUUGUAGGAACGUUAUACUAACCAUAAAAAACGUUCUGGGAACAUUAAGCAAACUGGACAUUUCAACGUUUUUGGAACAUUCUAAAUAAACGUUCAUAAAACGUUAUAUUUUUUAUGAAAUGUAAGUUUCAAGAACGUUGUAGGAACGUUAUACUAACCAUAAAAAAACGUUCUGGGAACAUUAAGCAAACUGGACAUUUCAACGUUUUUGGAACAUUCUAAAUAAACGUUCAUAGAACGUUAUAUUUUUUAUGAAAUGUAAGUUUCAAGAACGUUGUAGGAACGUUAUUCUAACCAUAAAAAAACGUUCUGGGAACAUUAAGCAAACUGGACAUUUCAACGUUUUUGGAACAUUCUAAAUAAACGUUCAUAAAACGUUAUAUUUUUUAUGAAAUGUAAGUUUCAAGAACGUUGUAGGAACGUUAUACUAACCAUAAAAAAACAUUCUGGGAACAUCAAGCAAACUGGACAUUUCAACGUUUUUGGAACAUUCUAAAUAAACGUUCAUAGAACGUUAUAUUUUUUAUGAAAUGUAAGUUUCAAGAACGUUGUAGGAACGUUAUACUAACCAUAAAAAACGUUCUGGGAACAUUAAGCAAACUGGACAUUUCAACGUUUUUGGAACAUUCUAAAUAAACGUUCAUAGAACGUUAUAUUUUUUAUGAAAUGUAAGUUUCAAGAACGUUGUAGGAACGUUAUACUAACCAUAAAAAAACGUUCUGGGAACAUUAAGCAAACUGGACAUUUUAACGUUUUUGGAACAUUCUAAAUAAACGUUCAUAGAACGUUAUAUUUUUUAUGAAAUGUAAGUUUCAAGAACGUUGUAGGAACGUUAUACUAACCAUAAAAAAACGUUCUUGGAACAUUAAACAAACUGGACAUUUCAACGUUAUUUGCAACAUUCAAAAUAACGUUUCCACAACCAAAAGGGAACGUUAGGAAAACGUUCUCACAACAUAAAUUUGUUAGCUGGGGUGUGAGAGGCACCGUCUUUAUUUUAUGUUUUAUUUAAUAAAAGACGUCAGCAGUAAAGCCGACCCCUUGUCCUCUUCCUUCCAACGUCUGAACUCAUUUCCAGUCACUUUUUAAGUUAAAGUCAUUUUUCAGUUUACAAUUUUAUUGUCAACAUUUUAAUACAAUCAUAGUAAUUACUUGAUCACAUAUUUUAGGUUUAAACUGAAUCAGCUUGUUGUCUUGCAGUAAUUAUUAUUUGCUGUGUUAAACACUAAGUACUGUAAAACAGAAGAAAUGCUGCUUUUGAAUUGGUUUUACGACCAAGUGUAUGUAUAGAAUGUUCUUUCUUUCUUUCUUUUCUUUCUUUCUAUUGUAUAACAUGCAAAUGCAAAUUGCUAUAUGAUC